UACGAAGGGGGCUAGCGUUGUUCGGAAUCACUGGGCGUAAAGGGCGCGUAGGCGGGCGACCAAGUCCGGGGUGAAAUCUUUCGGCUCAACCGGAAGAGUGCCUUGGAUACUGGUUGCCUCGAGGGAGGUAGGGGCAUGCGGAACUUCCGGUGGAGCGGUGAAAUGCGUAGAUAUCGGAAGGAACGCCGGUGGCGAAAGCGGCGUGCUGGACCUCUUCUGACGCUGAGGCGCGAAAGCCAGGGGAGCGAACGGG
rnacentral:rRNA from 1 species